rnacentral:rRNA from 1 species
UACAGAGGUCCCAAGCGUUGUUCGGAUUCAUUGGGCGUAAAGGGUGCGUAGGUGGCGCCGUAAGUCGGGUGUGAAAUUUCGGAGCUUAACUCCGAAACCGCAUUCGAUACUGCGGUGCUUGAGGACUGGAGAGGAGACUGGAAUUCAUGGUGUAGCAGUGAAAUGCGUAGAGAUCAUGAGGAAGACCAGUGGCGAAGGCGGGUCUCUGGACAGUUCCUGACACUGAGGCACGAAGGCCAGGGGAGCAAACGGG